AGUCAAGGCUAAAUAGGAUCCUGGAAUGAGGCACCUGUGACAGGGAGGGGUGCAAAAAGUCUAGGCCAGCUCCUUGGUUUUGCACCCCUCCCUGUCACAGGUGCCUCAUUCCAGGAUCCUAUUUAGCCUUGACUU